GAAACAGGUUAAUAUUCCUGUACUUGGUGUUACUGCGAAGGGGGGACGGAGAAGGCUAUGUUAGCCGGGCGACGGUUGUCCCGGUUUAAGCAUGUAGGCUGGUUGUCCAGGCAAAUCCGGAUAAUCAAGGCUGAGGUGUGAUGACGAGGCACUACGGUGCUGAAGUAACAAAUGCCCUGCUUCCAGGAAAAGCCUCUAAGCAUCAGGUAACAUUAAAUCGUACCCCAAACCGACACAGGUGGUCAGGUAGAGAAUACCAAGGCGCUUGAGAGAACUCGGGUGAAGGAACUAGGCAAAAUGGUGCCGUAACUUCGGGAG
rnacentral:rRNA from 1 species